rnacentral:rRNA from 1 species
UGAAUACGAGACGCUAAGGCGUCGAAGUAGUGUAUGUCAUACUUCCAAGAAAAGCUUGCACUGUCAUAGAUAAAAAACGCCUGUACCAUAACCGACACAGGUGGGUAGGUAGAGUAUACUAAGGGGCGCGAGAUAACUCUCUCUAAGGAACUCGGCAAAAUAACUCCGUAACUUCGGGAGAAGGGGUGCCUUAUUCGUAAGGUUGCAAUAACAAGAUCCAAGCAACUGUUUAUCAAAAACACAGGUCUCCGCUAAGUCGUAAGACGAUGUAUGGGGGCUGACGCCUGCCCAGUGCCAGAAGGUUAAAGAAGUUGGUUAGCAAUUGCGAAGCUGAUAACUGAAGCCCUGGUGAACGGCGGCCGUAACGAUAGCGGUCCUAAGGUAGCGAAAUUCCUUGUCGGGUAAGUUCCGACCCGCACGAAAGGCGUAAUGAUUUGGAUACUGUCUCGGAGAGGGGCUCGGUGAAAUAGACUUGUCUGUGAAGAUGCGGACUACCUGCACCAGGACAGAAAGACCCUAUGAAGCUUUACUGUAACUUGAAAUUGAAAUUGGACUUUAUUCGCGCAGUAUAGGUGGGAGGCGUUGAUUAUAAUCUUGUGGGAUUAUUGGAGCCAUCAGUGAGAUACCACUCUUGUAAUGUUAGAUUUCUAACUUUGAAUCAUUAUCUGGUCAAAGAACAGUUCCAGGCGGGCAGUUUGACUGGGGCGGUCGCCUCCUAAACGGUAACGGAGGCGUACAAAGGUUUCCUCUGAACGGUUAGAAAUCGUAUCUAGAGUGUAAAGGCAUAAGGAAGCUUGACUGUGAGACCUACAAGUCGAGCAGGGACGAAAGUCGGUCUUAGUGAUCUGACGGUACUGAGUGGAAAGGCCGUCACUCAACGGAUAAAAGUUACUCUAGGAUAACAGGCUGAUCUCCCCCAAGAGUUCACAUCGACGGGGAGGUUUGGCACCUCGAUGUCGGCUCAUCGCAUCCUGGGGCGGUAGUACGUCCCAAGGGUUGGGCUGUUCGCCCAUGAAAGCGGUACGCGAGCUGGGUUCAGAACGUCGUGAGACAGUUCGGUCCAUAUCCGGUGUAGGCGUUAGAAUAUUGAGAGGAGCCUUCUUUAGUACGAGAGGACCGAGAAGGACAUACCUCUGGUGUACCAGUUAUCGUGCCAACGGUAAACGCUGGGUAGCUAUGUAUGGAGUGGAUAACCGCUGAAAGCAUCUAAGUGGGAAGCCCACCUCAAGAUAAG